rnacentral:rRNA from 1 species
UACGUAGGGGGCGAGCGUUGUCCGGAUUUAUUGGGCGUAAAGAGCUCGUAGGCGGCUUGGCAAGUCGGGUGUGAAACCUCCAGGCUUAACCUGGAGACGCCACUCGAUACUGCCAUGGCUAGAGUCCGGUAGGGGACCACGGAAUUCCUGGUGUAGCGGUGAAAUGCGCAGAUACCAGGAGGAACACCGGUGGCGAAGGCGGUGGUCUGGGCCGGCACUGACGCUGAGGAGCGAAAGCGUGGGUAGCAAACAGG